UCGAACGCCCCGCAGGGGAGUGGCAGACGGGUGAGUAACGCGUGGGAACAUACCCUUUCCUGCGGAAUAGCUCCGGGAAACUGGAAUUAAUACCGCAUACGCCCUACGGGGGAAAGAUUUAUCGGGGAAGGAUUGGCCCGCGUUGGAUUAGCUAGUUGGUGGGGUAAAGGCCUACCAAGGCGACGAUCCAUAGCUGGUCUGAGAGGAUGAUCAGCCACAUUGGGACUGAGACACGGCCCAAACUCCUACGGGAGGCAGCAGUGGGGAAUAUUGGACAAUGGGCGCAAGCCUGAUCCAGCCAUGCCGCGUGAGUGAUGAAGGCCUUAGGGUUGUAAAGCUCUUUCACCGGAGAAGAUAAUGACGGUAUCCGGAGAAGAAGCCCCGGCUAACUUCGUGCCAGCAGCCGCGGUAAUACGAAGGGGGCUAGCGUUGUUCGGAAUUACUGGGCGUAAAGCGCACGUAGGCGGAUAUUUAAGUCAGGGGUGAAAUCCCAGAGCUCAACUCGGAAAGUGCCUUUCAUACUG
rnacentral:rRNA from 1 species